AAAAAAAAAAAAAAAAAGGAAAAAGAAAAUGACAGCAAACAACCUGUAUAGCAGCAUAAAUAAAAUUUUUCUGACCCUAAAUUUUCUCCUCUCUGAAGAUCCUCUGAUCAACAGCUUCCAAAAAAAAUAAAAAUCCCCAUUUUUAAUUUUUGUUAUCCAUUCCCUGUUUGAUCCCUCUGAUCCAGGCACAAACUCUGUGACCAUCAAUCUUUUAUGGGUUUUAACAGCUAAGCUUGUUGUUGAAAAUUGACACAAUAUAUGUAUGUUAAGAUCCACAUAAAAACUAUUGCUUUCUUGUCUUUGUGGGACAAAAAAAAAAGUUCAGCCUAUACCUUUUGCAGGUUUGUUACAUAUUAAUGGGGUCCAGCCCUUGUUGAGCUUGUGGGGGUUAUUAUAAUAUCAAGAAUUGGGGUUGUGGGUUUUGAAUAUAAGCAAAAAUUGGAGCUGAGGUUUGGAUUUUUGAUGAAUAUAUUGUUUGCUGGUUCUUUUGGAUAAAAUAUGUAAACACCAAUAAAGGGAAAUAAGAAAAAGACUCAAUUUUUAUCAAGAUUAGACCUUUUUUAUUUUAUUUUUUGGUAUUAUACAUGUAAUUUUAUUGAAAUUGUAUGCAAAAAGAAAAAAAGAAAAAGCUUGUUGGAAACCUUCUGUUGAGGGGGAUGGUGGUGUAGGGAAGUGGGUUGAGGGUUGAUGGUUUAAUGUGGCACAGAUAUGAUGGAGAAUUUUCUGUGGGAACAAUACAAGCAAAUAAUUUGGUGAAGGAUCAGAGCCAGCUUGAAUCAUGUCCUUAUUGAAUAUUUGUUGGUGUCUAUGAUGGACAUGGAGGACCAGAGACGUCUCGUUUCGUAAACAACACUUUGUUCUCCAAUCUUAAGAGUGUCUUUGGUCGGAUAUUGCCAAGAAUGCUAAUCACUCCCACUGCCGGAAAAUGAAUCACCACCUUUUGCCUAUAUGUAACAUGUAAAUAGCACUCUCAUAUAUGUAGAGAAUGUUGCGCUUUAGUAUGCUGUUUUCCUGCCAUGGAGUUCCAACCAGUUUGUGGCACAAAUGAUAAAAGGAGAUUAAGGGCCUUUUAUUCACACCUCUUGAAGUACAUGUAUGCCUGUAUUCUCCUGUUGUGCAUGCUUGCAUCUGAUUUCUAUGUUAUUUCAGAGGAUUCAUGUCCUUUCACUUCAGGGAUUGCAAGUUGGAAGUCACAACUAUCAACUCCCAUGAAUAUGUUGUAGGAGUUCUUGUGAUGGUUGCUCUUCCAAAUGUAUAGAAAUUUGUUGCAGAGUCUUAAACCUAUUAAACAAUGCUACAAACAAGUUAAAGAUUCAAUGCCUAAUAGUGCAGAUAAAGAAUAUAUGAAAGUUCAAUGCGCACAAAGCAAGACCUUAGCGACGCUCUUCAGGUAACGUAAAUAGGAUUUCUUGAACUAUGAGGCUUCUUUGUCUUCGCGCUUCAUUGCAUAUUUCUACUAUAUUAGAAGCGUGGGUUGAGAGGUGGAAUCGACAUGUGUGUUCUUUGUCAAUAAAAGUAGAGUUGAUGGCAAUUUGGUCAUUAUCUGUAGAUUAGCUGGUGUUCUAGUGAACGCUUAUUUUAUGCACUGAAUGCUUUUCUUUUUUCUAUGUGGCUUUUAUUCUGUCGGCGGCCUGUGCAUAGCGGUAGAAAAAUCAACUCAACUCUCUCCUUAUCUUUCCUUACUUUUUAGAAUUCUGUUCCGACUUCUCCAAAAUAGUUUGCUGGGGUUAGAGUUAUCGGGAUUUGCUGAAAAUCAGAACCAAAUAGAAUGAAUCCUUGGUUUUAGAAAAAGGACCAAAGGUCUAACCAAAGGAAAAAUGGAACAUCCUAUUUCCUGCUACUGCUAAACCAUCACUUCAUUUCAUUAUAUUCUAAUCCAAACCCAAUUCAAUUAAAGAGACUAACUUAAGAGUAGAAAACUGCUAUAAACAGAAUCUCAUUUUAUGUUUGAAUUUGUCUCUGGAGACUUACAGGUUAGUAUUUGUGCCCUGGGGGAUUUGCCUCUUCUUCUUCCUCCGUCAUAUUGACCACGAUAGGAAAAAAAAUCCUGAAGGUCACUUUAUGUUCUGUCAAUCAUUUUGUCUAUCUUUAAGCUUUCUUGUGUUUUAGAUUGAAGUUGUGGAGUUGGCCUAAAACUACCUUUAACAAGGUAGUUUGUUCUAAUUCUGAAGAGUUAACUGAAAACCAGAGGCAAUUAGACAGAUGAAAAGUGUGGUGAGCAAGAUAAAGAGUAGAUCAUUGGACGCCUUCAGAGUUUUCCUGAAAUUCUAUGUUCGUUAUGAGAGAGCAUGUGGAACAGGAUUGUAGUUCAAAGAAUGUCUAGCAGAAGCAUUUAGGCUCUGGUUACAACUAAAUUAAUUUUCGAUUGGUUGUUUUCAGCUAAUGUUGGCGUCACUACUAAAAUGGGCAGAAUUGCAAAGCAAAUAAAGGUAUGUAUCUUGAGAUUUGAGUUUCUUAUAAACAAAAAAUUCUGCUGGAUCCUACUUCAUCAUAUGAUUAAAGUCUGCCUUAGUCACUCUUUCUCAACCAUUGCCAUCCAAACAGGGCUUCAGAUCUUGAAUAGCCAGUGGGUUGCCUUAGAUGGGUUAUUACAUUGAUGAUUCACCUACUAAUAUGAUUAGGUAAAUACAUAUUGCAAACUUAGUGCAUAACGAUUCCAUUAUUGAUGAUUCACCUACCAAUAUGAUUAGGUAAAUACAUAUUGCAAACUUGGUGCAUAAUGAUUCCAUUUAUUGUGACUGGUGCAAUGGACCACGGAACAUCAACUCCAUUCCACAACACGCUUUUACAUGAGUAGUAUUCUUAUGUUGAUGUACUACUAAAACUAUUUUCUGCUUACAGUUAUCACGUCGGGAAAUUUUGGAGUCUUAUGUGAAGGGUUGGUUGUCCAAGCAUUCUGGCCAUCCAUAUAUAGUUGAAUAUGCUGCCAAUUUCGCUGUAGCACAUGAUUUUGGUAGUCCUGGAGCUGUCAUUGUUACAAGUCUCCUUGACAAAAAGAUACACCUAGCACAGAUUGUUGUUCAUGGCUUUAAUGAAAGUUGUUGAUUCUUUAUCUUUAGUGCUAAUACAUGGAUUCACUCUCAAAAAGAUAAUCCAGGAAGUAGAAUUAUCUUCCAAAAUCAGGUAAGCGACAUACUUUCAAAUGAUUUUACUUCUCAUUUUGAUUAUCAUGCAUAUCUAUCAUCUCAAGAGGAUCCUGCUAAGAUUUAAAAUUGUUCAAUUAUGGGAGAAAGUUUAGUCUCACCGUAAGACGAAGUUAAAUAAAAUGACGACAGCCUAAAAGUUGUGUCAUUGUCUGGGUAAGGAAUAGCCUAUGAGAUUUUAGAUAGUAAUAUUAUGUCUGCAGUGAUUUAGAAUAUAUCACAUGUGAAGAAAAAAAAUGUGAUAUUUGAGAAGUCUCAUGUAAGCAUUCAA